GGGUUAGUAAGUUGGUCAUGCCUUUGGUAUGCACUGGCUUUACUGGUUCCUCCUUCUUGACGAACCGUGAUGUCAUUAAUUUGGUGUUGCGGGAAAUCAGGACUGUUACUUUGAGAAAAUUAGAGUGUUUAAAGCAGGCUAACGCUUGAAUACAUUAGCAUGGAAUAAUGAAAUAGGGCGUUAAUCCUAUUUUGUUGGUUUCUAGGAUCGACGUAAUGAUUAAUAGGGAUAGUUGGGGGCAUUAGUAUUCAAUUGUCAGAGGUGAAAUUCUUGGAUUUAUUGAAGACUAACUACUGCGAAAGCAUUUGCCAAGGAUGUUUUCAUUAAUCAAGAACGAAAGUUAGGGGAUCGAAGACGAUCAGAUACCGUCGUAGUCUUAACCAUAAACUAUGCC
rnacentral:rRNA from 1 species